rnacentral:rRNA from 1 species
AGUGAACGCUGGCGGUAGGCCUAACACAUGCAAGUCGAACGGCAGCACAGGAGAGCUUGCUCUCAGGGUGGCGAGUGGCGGACGGGUGAGGAAUACAUCGGAAUCUACCUUUUCGUGGGGGAUAACGUAGGGAAACUUACGCUAAUACCGCAUACGACCUACGGGUGAAAGUGGGGGACCGCAAGGCCUCACGCGAUUAG